rnacentral:rRNA from 1 species
UACGUAGGGUGCAAGCGUUGUCCGGAAUUAUUGGGCGUAAAGAGUGUGUAGGCGGUGUUCCCAGUCUGUUGUGAAAUCUCCCGGCUUAACUGGGAGGGUGCAGCGGAAACUAGAAUGCUAGAGGGUGGGAGAGGUAAGCGGAAUUCCUGGUGUAGCGGUGAAAUGCGUAGAUAUCAGGAGGAACACCUGUGGUGUAGACAGCUUACUGGACCACUUCUGACGCUGAGACACGAAAGCGUGGGUAGCAAACAGG